CACUACUCCCACUACUCCCACUACAUCCACCUACACCCACUCUUUCCACCCACUUUACACUUCACUCUCGGCUCUCACUAAAUCUCUCUCUAUACUCUCUUUUCCUCCAUUGAUGUCCAUUGAAGAAAGCUUAGAGAAGCUUCAUCAAACACUACUAUGAGAUAAUCCACCAUCCAAUCCAAUCAAAUACUAUCAUAUCUCAUCAAAUUCAAGAAGCUAGAGCUAAGAUCAAAGUUGGAGCAAAGUCUUGAUCACCUUUUAAAUCCUUGAGCUUUGUGAUGACCAGGAGGAUUAGCGCUACUUUUCCAAGACAGGUUUAUAUGUGUAUGAUCUUCAGGCUUUGCCUAUCCAGGUUGGCUGGCUGGUGCUGACGGGACGGAGCUGAGGCUAGAGUUAAAAUUCAUAUGUUAGACUUCCGCUGUAGCAAUUACUCUUAUACAUCUUUUGUUUUCUCAACUUAAGAUGACUUCAUGUCGAGCUUAAAUUUGAAAUUCUAGUUUUAUGCUAAUGAAUGUUGGUUGUCAGAAACAUGAAACAAAACUUGUGAUCCAAAGGGGCAUAGCCCGACUUUCUAUCCUAUUUUGGGUUUUAACGAGGUA